ensembl:lncRNA
CAUGGAUUGGCUGCUCUGUGUGUCAGUACUUCCUUGAUUCCCACCUGUAAGAAAAUGUUAGUAACAACCUGUCUUUCACUGCUUACAUUAUGUAUAGAAACUGGUUCAGAAGCAUUACUUGACUCUGGUGAAAUGUCUGUUAGCCAGUCUGUGUGUAAAACAACAUCACUGUCAGUACACAGUGGGCGGGAGAGACCGGAACUGUGGAAGAUGUCACAGGUAAAGGAAACAAUGACACAGGAUGUGUUCAGAAGAGACAUACCUUAGAGAAAAGCUCAGAGGAGCGUCAAAACGAUAGCAAAUAAAGACCAACAUUUGGUGUCCUCUGAAGUGAUAAAGAAUGGUGGUGGUCCAGUUCUUUGUGGCUUGGUUGAUGUUGUCUGCAUGCCCUUCGUUCUCCCACCCUCAGAAUACACAGGAACAUUCCAGUGAUGUAGGGAGAAACUGCAAACUUUGUCAACCAGGUGAGUAUCAGAAGUCAUGUUAUGAGUGCUCCCCCUGUGAAGAGGGUUUCUACACAGCAGAAAUGAACGAAGAGCCGAGCUGCCGUCCCUGCUUCAGAGACUGCAGACCUGAACUUCACCUGGUGGUGGUUGCGAACUGCACAAAAAAAUCAGACAUCACGUGUCUCUGUGAGGCUGGUUUCAGCUGCAGUGAAGAAAACUCCCUGACAGGAAACUGCGAAGACUGUAAGAAGAUUCCUCAGCAGACGACGCCACUGACGUCCAUUGCAGUGAGCGUCAGAAUAAAACAGCCCAUAACAUCCCCUGAAUUCCGCAGCACUUCCUUGACUGAACGCUGCCAACCACCCCACUGUGAUGCUUCAGCAGCCCCAGAUAGAGUCAACAACACUAACCACACCUCAGGAAAGGUACAGAUCAUUUUCUCCUCUCCACCGGCUGAGGGCAGUAGCUCCCUGGCAGGCAUUUUAUUUCCUCUGGUGGUCAUUGUCCUGGCCAUUAUCAUUCUGCUAUGUAUCCUUCGCCCUCGAGAUGAAGUGCGUUUCAAACAAGCUCUCAAAUUCUGUAACAAGGGAGUCAGAGAAGGGGUGCCUAACAUUGCCAAAGUGCCAACUCACCAGACAAAAGAGCCACAACCCACUGGGAGGCAUCAGCCAAUCAACCCACACCCUACAGCAAAUAUGGGCCCGGUCCAUGUCUACAGCGCUGGAACAGUUAUCUUCAGUUUACUCAACCAGUUCACUGGUCACGGUGGAGUUAGUGGAGGACUAGAGGAUGAGCAAAAGCAAAACACGAGGGAUGAAGAAAGCGGAAGCUGUCCGACACACCCCAUCCCCUCCCCUAAUAUCCAUCUAUCCCAGGAAGAGAAGAAUGGCGAGAUGGACUGUGUAUUUUUCCCUUCACAGGAGCAAGGAAAGGAGAGUCACAUGUCCAAAGAGGAGGGAUUAUUAUGAUUGGAGGGGGAUUGCAGACUGAGGACACACCAUGUGGAAGCGGUUUUGCCAACUGAACAUCCUAAUGGUAUGCAAUAAUGGACUAACACUGACCCAGGGUCAGUGGUAAGUGAUAACUUAUUCAUGCUCUCAGAAGAACUCAGGUGAAUCCAAACACUCUAGAAUGGUGAAUUCUAACUUUCUAGCAGGGGGAAUCUCAGUCCUCUCACACUGACAUGAGGGCUGUGUAAUGUCGGUCCUGGAGGGCUGAUCCUUUCUGGGUUUAAUUCUAUCCUUCUAAUCAAAGACUAACUCAGACCUGGGACGCCAGGUGAGUGCAUUUAACCAGCAGGUAGAAACAAACCCCCAACUGUUUCUGCCCCCAGGCCGUGACUGCGUGAAGCCCUCAGAGCAACCCCAUGAUGUUUAUAUUGUAAAUUGUACUGUAUUUAUAAUAAGCUCUCUGUCUCAGAUGUUGCUAUCUGUUUCCCAUCAUGUUCAUUUGGCAUGUUGGAACUAUCUUUGUAAAAUUGAAAGCUAAAUGAUAAAUAAUAAAAGUAAUGUGAUUAGGUCGUCAUAAAUCACUGUAGGUCUGUAAUCUUUUUGAAGCUAUUCUUUAUUUACAAUAUGUUAUGGUGUGUUCUAUUUCAAAUAAUGACUACAUUUCAAUAUGCAUCUAAAAAGCAUGGAUACAGCAAACAGAACAAUUGCAAUGAAGGUGUAAAACAUCUUCAACAUAAUCAUGUACUGUACAUGUACUUAACACACACUGUGUGUGUGUGUGUCUCUCGGUUAUGCUUAAUACUCCUAUUUAAAGAAAGUAUCUUCCUUCAGGAAGAGGGAGGUGGGCAGUACAGGUUAACCAUGUCCAAAAAAACAGCCCUCAACCUGACCACUUUAUUUCCAUGUGCUGUGGUGCAAAUGAUUUAUAUUUUCUUCUUCGUUCUACCACUCUCUUCGCUGUGUAAAUUCUUUGAGUAUGUGUUAAUUUGUCUUAAUUAAUAAAAGGUGAUUCUGAUUCCAGUCAUUCACUCUUACUCUUUGAUCUUUCUUUGUCACACACAGGCUUCUUCCUUUGCCUGUGUCUGGUGGUUUCUUCC